GUUCUCCAGCUCUGGGGGUUUAAGAGAGAAUCGGAGGGUUCCAGCCACAGACCCAUUUGCCUCAGGAAGCCGAGCUCGUCUGGAUUCCCACCAUGGCCUGGGUCCCUCUGCUCCUCACGCUGCUCACUUACUUCUCAGGUUCUCUGGGCCAGUACGUGCUGACCCAGCCGCCUUCAGUGUCUGUCUGUCCAGGGCAAAAUGCUCAACUCACCUGCUCAGGGAACAAUAUUGAAGACUAUAGUGUGCACUGGUACCAACAGAAACCUGGAAGCGCCCUCGUGCUCGUGAUAUAUAGUGAUAAUGAGAGACCCUCCGGAAUCCCUGAUCGAUUCUCGGGUGCCAACUCCGGUAACGUGGCCACGUUAACCAUCACUGGAGUCCAGGCGCAGGACAAGGCUGAUUAUUACUGUCAGGUGUGGCACAGCAAUGCUGCUCACAAUGACCCAGCCAGAUAG